rnacentral:rRNA from 1 species
GUAGGGAAUCUUGCACAAUGGGCGAAAGCCUGAUGCAGCAACGCCGCGUGAAGGAUGAAGGCCUUCGGGUUGUAAACUUCUGUUCUUAGGGAAGAAGAAAGUGACGGUACCUAAGGAGAAAGCCCCGGCUAACUACGUGCCAGCAGCCGCGGUAAUACGUAGGGGGCAAGCGUUAUCCGGAAUUAUUGGGCGUAAAGAGUGCGUAGGUGGUUAUCUAAGCGUAAGGUUUAAGCGUGCAGCUCAACUGCAUCUCGCCUUGCGAACUGGACUACUUGAGUGCAGGAGGGGAAAGCGGAAUUCCUAGUGUAGCGGUGAAAUGCGUAGAUAUUAGGAGGAACACCAGCGGCGAAGGCGGCUUUCUGGACUGUAACUGACACUGAGGCACGAAAGCGUGGGGAGCAAACAGGAUUAGAAACCCGGGUAGUCC